rnacentral:lncRNA from 1 species
UAAAAAAUUUCAAAUUUGACAUGGAGAUAAAGGAUUGAGGUAAUUCAGAGUUUUGGGAUUAGAAAGUGCAAAUUACCUGGGUUUCUUCCAAAAGCAGUUGUUUUGUUUCCCUGAUAGAACCUGGCUGGAAAGGUAUUUCCCAUCUCUCUGAAAAGUCUGCGACUUAGAAGUAUCUGUAAUGUAAGUCUAACACUUUGUUACCUUUAGUGUCCUAAAAACCACUCCAUACCUCUCAUACACUCAUCUGAAGCAAGCAUCAAUUUCCAAUUUUCAUAUUUGGACAGAAAUAUCAAGUGUCAAAGAGUCUGCAUUGGAAAGUGCCUUUAGCAGCCUAACAGGUGUCACCUUAGUUUUUCAGAAAGAAGCUUUCGGAGGAAAACCCUCAAUUUUGUGACCAGUGUGUGACAGUAAGAGGAA